CGGCAACCGGCCUGCGCCAGCCGCUAGGGAGCUGGGCGGGAGCUAGCGCGUGAGCGUUCCGGCCGGUGCCCAAGCCUCCCCAGGCUUCUUCCCCUGGGGACAGUGUUGCUUGGUAGUACCUUUUGUGACAAGAAGCUGGUUUUAGAAUUGCUCCUACUCAUAAGAAAGAUAUGAAUUCUCUCUACUUGAUUCUAAGUUUAGCAGUUAAUAUCUUAGGUGACUUUGUCACUCAGCGUUUUGCUUUAAAGUGAACUGUGAAGACAUUUUCAAGAACAUAGAUAAACGUAAAAGAUCAGUUCAAUGUUGGACUCAGGACCUUCAGCCUAUUUUGCUGUGCUUGACUUGUUUCGUUUUGAUUGUCAAUGCCACCACGGCUGUGAGAGUGGGAAUGUUGAAAUGGACAAGUGAAUAUUAUUGAGAGGCUCAAACACAGUCGCGUUCAGUCCUGGUUCUGAGAAUCCCGUCUCUAUGUUGUGUAAACCACUGCCCCCCACUUGUCUCCUGAUAUGCCAAUAAAGAGUCUUGACAACCAAUGUCUGAGCAGGGGCGAGAACAGGGCUGGACUUCCUGCCCUCCAGGGGAGGAGUUGGAAGAGGAAGCAGAGGACCGAGCCACAGAAGGGGUCCAGGUGACAUCAGGAGAGGAGCUGGUCAGGAAAAGCUACAAAGCGCAGGUAUCUCUGGGAUGCGCACUGGGAGGCAGCCAGACAGCCGUGUAGAGCUCUGACUGGCCCACAGGAGUGCAGUGUCCUGCUAGCAGACGGGAAAGGCCUGCUGUCCAGAUUCUUCUUGGCCUCUCUGUGAGGAGUCUUCCCUCUGGGUAUGGAGCAAGAGGCCUUCUGAAAUGAGAGUCAUGUGACUUACUUUCAGCUUCUCAGACUUCUUUCUCAGCAGAGAUAGGCUAUAAAGAGACAAACUUUGAACACUGAGCAGUCUACGCUUCUCUGUCAAAAGGCCUUUUACAGCUUUGAGGAGCGGGAAUAGGAGCAGGAAUCCCCAGUCUGUGCUCUCCCGUUAACUCUAAGAAUGGGGGUUACAAAGACCUCCCAGCUUAGCUGCUAACCGGUGAACAAACGCGGCCUGGCCGCCUCCACACCUGUGCCGUUCUUUGGGUUCCUGGGGUGUCUCCGGUGGGCUGCCUGGUGGCAGCCCCAGCUCACGACGUUUGUGAAACAGCUGCCACAGGGAUCAGCUGCUCAAAAACUGUUGCGGAACUAAUAUCGGCCGUGUGUGCGCGUUGUAUUUGCAGAGCGCUGGCGGCCAGGGACCUGCCGGUCAAAGCCCCCGCUAACCUUUCCUCCGUCACGCUUGAGAACUCCGAGGGGCGUCAGCUGCUAAGCCCACCCACCCUCAGCACCCCCAGAUUAGGCGUGGUGGGAGACUUCUCACGGAGGAAGGAGACGCUGUCCUGGCUGACGACGAUCCUUCCUGGAAGACCAGUGGCUGUCAACGGGCGGGUUUCUAAAAUGGUGGUUGCCUUGUUCCCACGCUGUUCCGGCGUCCUCUCUCCAGCAGGCGGUGGAGUGGAGCCCGGGAGGCCUGGCUGCCCCAGGCGUGCUCUGCAGGCAGGCCUCUGCUCUGUAACUCGCCCGGCUGCCUCUGGCCUGCGGCUGCACAAACACAAGGGGAUGCCAGAAUACUCCAUGCUUUCUCCACAGUUUCCCUCAUCAGACAAACAAAAAACUCGUGCUGUCUGCAUAUAGAACUGCUAAUGUCAGCUGCGAUUUUAGCUCUUAAUCACGUUCUUCUUAGCAAAGACCCAGGAGGAAAACCCUAAACUGUUUCUUCGUUCAUUAGUGAUCUAUGAGAACAAGUUUGAGAACAAGUUUGUUAACGGUGCCAAACAUCACAGUCGAGAGCUGAGUCCGAGAGCUUAAGAUGAAUGAAACACACGCAUACCACAUGCCCACAAACUAAACUGCAGGAGCCCCAGCCAGACCUCUGAGGGGACAGCAGCUGGGCUUUAAAACGACCUUUUGUCUUUUUCCUCUAAUCGCCACUUCUAGAAUUAAUUUUGAAAUGCCUGGAUAUCGGGUAUCAGAUAGGGAGCCCCAAUAACCGAUUUUGUUCCAAAAAGGCAGCAGCAGCAGCAGCGGGCUGAUAAUGUGGCUCAUUCGGUAAGUGCUUGCAGUCCGAGUGCCAGGACCUGAGUUCGGGUCCCUAGAACCCACACAGAAAGGGAGGCAUGGUACUGAGCGUUUGUGAUCCAGCCUUGGGGUGUGGGUUCCUGGAGCUUACUGGCCGUCCAGACUGAGCAAACGGGAGAGCUACGGCUUCAGUGAGAGCCUGUCCCCAAAGACAGUGGUAGAGAGCGGCCACCUGCUGUCGACCUCGGGCCUCAUCUCUCUCUCUCAUACACACACACUCUCUCGAAUACACAUGUACAUGCACAAUAAAAUAAAAAGAAAAAAAUAAUUUUAAAAAGUCAGCAGCUAAGUAGGAAGUAAAAGCAAAAGGGAAAAGAGAGAAGAAACAGCCAGACAAAAAUGUUAGAGUCCAAAAAUGUCCCCCAAAUGUUCACACUCACACAUUUCAAAUUAAGCAUUUCAAAAAUAGUGAUUUUACCAAAAAUAAGUUCUUUUAAAAAAUGUAAAAAUGAAGUAGCUACAGGUUUGUUACUCAGUUUCUUCAGAAAGUCUGGAUAGCUGUUUUUGUUUGGGCCCUGCUGUCUUUAGGCUCAUUUGGCUAGAGACCUGACUUGGGGGCUGAUACAGGGGUCAGUGCUGGAGGAAAGUUUGGGUUUCUUCUUAGAGCACCACCAGCAGGACAGAUAGCCACACCCAAAGGGAUAUGGGGUACCUGCCGCUCUUAAGUACCAGCCUGAUACAGUGGAGAAUCAUGGGGGAAGGGAGCUCUAGGGGAGGAGGGAGAGUAGGUCAGGUUGGCCUUUGUUUGUGGGGGAUGGUCUGGAGUACAUUAACUGAUGUGUGAGCACCAGCCUAAAAGUGGGAGCACCAACCCCGGGGUUAGGUUCUGAGGAGCACACACACACACACACACACACACACACUUCCAUUCCUCUCUGCCCUUGGUUGUGGAUAUGAUGUAAUCCACUGGUUUCCAUUCCCGCUGCUGUGAGUUCCCACAGUGAUGAGCUACACAGCAUGUGAAAGGACACUAAGACAGUUCUUCAGGUGUGGAAUAAGUAGCUGAUGUGAACCUUUUGCAUGAGCAAGCCAGGAACACAUCGUAGGCGGUUCCUAAUCAGAGUUCUGCAUGUCACAGGGUCAUGCAUGAUCUCUCUGUUAGGCCCUAGUUACCCUGAGUCAUCCAGAGAGGACCUGAAGGAUCAUUGCCCUCUUUGCUCAGAGUCCCAAGAACCCUCAUGCAACUAGCUCUCCGGUAGCACUGCCGAGAUGGUGUUCGGAUUUUCCUGCCUCUGUGAGGCCCCCAUCAAAUACUUCUCUUCCUUACAAAAUGUGGUGGAAAGCAGGGGCAGGGGCAGCCAUCCGGCUCCAUCCAUUCCAUCCUCGCCCUCAUUCUCCAACUGGCUACUAGUGGCUACUGCUCAAAGGCCCCCUUCCACCUGGUUGUUUGCUAACCUUGGUGAGAGAGUUUUUAGCACAAAAGCCUGGGCCUCCACAGUCCUAACAGGCCUACCUAGCUACUGAUCCCCACAUUCUGGCACUGUGAAAAGAUGCAUUCAAUGGGCCCCCCCGCUGGGAAGGAGAGAUAAAGAGGUCAGUGACCCCAGUCCAUCUUUGGGGUAUUGCCAUGCACUGGAUUUAGGUAGAGGGUGAGAGGUUUGCAUAAUCCAGCAGUCCUGGCCAAGGCACCAUCCUGCCUGCCACUGUUUCAGCUGCAGUCCUGCAGGGUGCUCCACGAUCUCUUAAUCUAUUAACCGGUCGCCCUCAAGGGACCAGGGUGCUUGCUGCAGGCCUGUGCGCAGGAAGCAGUCUCACCCUGAGGAUGAUGGUCCUGUGGUGGGAGAGGUGCGUCUGUCCUGUGGAGCUACAGGGUGAGGACAAUGACAGCUCUGUGCUGUUAGCCCUGUGGUGCAAGUGAGGAGGCAAUGCUUUUUAGCAAAAGCAGCGUCUAGACAUCCAUUUCAAAGCUACUCAAUCCAUGACAUUAUUAUCAUUAGUGACCUGGUCCUAUCUCACGUGGGUAUUCCUUCUUUAUAAGCCCAUGAUGACCCACAUUGUCUUUUUUUCUUGGCUUUUCCACCAGAUAGUAAAAAUGUCAGCUAGCAAGUGGGGGUUAGCAUCCCAGCUAAUCUUUUCUUUGCUGUGGAAUAGGGUGUGUGCCAAGUGAGGCUGAUGAAGGACUAGUGUGCGAAUCACAGCGCUAAGUGCUCAGAAAACGAAGGUAAAUGGAAGAGAAAUGAAAAAGGAAGGGCCUGGCUGUUGCUGGGUAUGGCGGAGGAGAACAUUUAUUGUAGAUAAAAGGGAGAGCAUAGUCAGAGAACCUUUGGAGAGCCCAGAGUGAACAUUGCCAAACUGAGAGGAGGGGGAAGGGCCCAGGGGGGAGAAGCCAUCAACCAAGAAGGGUGGCCUGGGCCAAGGGACUGGACAAGAGAGUAAAGGGUAGAUCAAAGAGGCCAGGUAACAAAAAUGGCUGGAUAUACAGGGAAGGGCAGCUGCAGAAAGGAUAGCCCCACCCCUGGUCUGGAGGAGUUCAGGGCAGGGACCCAGGUAUGCUAGCCAUGCCCUGUACCAGCUAGAGAUGGAGGGAUGCUGGGAGAGCCUGGCAGCCAGGCCUACUUUGAUAUGUUAAACAGGCACUUCAGCCAGUUUGUCUCUGGUUUGAGGCCUAACAACAGGGUGUACUUGGAUACCAUGACUUAUUAUCUGUCAUUAGUUGAGGGGUUCACUGAGUCUGGGAAAGGGGUCCUUUUGAGAAACCUUUUAGGAGACGGCACCAUAGGAAAGGGCAAUUAAGUCAAGCUUGACCUUGACCUUGUAACAAAAUCUGAGCAGUCGACGUGGAGGCAUUUACAUUUGAGAAUUUGCCACCAGGGAGAAACUCCUUGACCCCAAUUCAAAACAACCUAUAUUAUAACAUAGGAUCCUGCAAUACGAAGGUCCUAUUCUUUGUUUAACGGUCUGCUGUCACCAUCUUAAAAUGCUUAAAAUGUAAGCAAAGGGACCCUGCAUUUUCAGUUUGCAAGUUAUGGAGCCUCUGCCCUGAUACAGGAUCCAACACAGGAGAGAGACCCGGCAUUCCCACGGCGGCAAGAGGGAGGUUUUCAGAGAGCUUUCAGUGGAUCUAGAAGGCGGUUGGAGCCACAGCGGGCGGAGGCCUGCACAGCAGACAUGUUAGCCUUCAGGCGACGUUUUCCGCUGUUUACCCUUCUCUUCAGUCCUGAAGACGGAUGCUUGACUGAGCCUGUGUGGGUCGAAUCUGUGGCAUGAUAAAUAUCUGAUGAGGUUCUUCAUGGUCACGAGGAUACUCAUUUCGUCUCACCUUUCUUUCCUUUAAGUUUGCGUCUGAGAGCGGGAGACCAGCCGGGAAGUAAAGAGCACCCUACGCUCUGAGCAUAUUUUCAGCUGAUCCCACACCAGUCUCUCUGGGGCGUUGCCUUGUGACCUGUCUGUAGAGUCGUGUGUUCAAAAGUAAAAAAUACAUGGUUUACAUAUAGAAACAUAGGCGGCAAAACCAAAUUGAGGGCAGACAAUGUUUAACACGCAGGUGUGAAUUUAACCGAAGGUUAAUAAC